UACGUAGGGUGCGAGCGUUAAUCGGAAUUACUGGGCGUAAAGCGCGCGCAGGCGGCUUUGCAAGCCCGAUGUGAAAUCCCCGGGCUCAACCUGGGAAUGGCAUUCGGGACUGCAAGGCUGGAGUGCGGCAGAGGAAACUGGAAUUCCUGGUGUAGCAGUGAAAUGCGUAGAUAUCAGGAGGAAUACCGAUGGCGAAGGCAGCUCUCUGGGCUGACACUGACGCUCAUGCACGAAAGCGUGGGGAGCAAACAGG
rnacentral:rRNA from 1 species